rnacentral:lncRNA from 1 species
AGUGGCAGAGCAGGCCUGCGUGACCCCCAGCAGCCCCGCAGCUCUGCCAGGAUGGAAUCCAAGUUAACACGAGAAGAGGGAAGUGUGUGGAGAGAAAGACUGCAAGGCUGGGGAGGAGCAGCCUGGAAUGGAGGCUCAGCUGUAUCAUGUAACCUGUCCCAAAGGAUGGAAGCCACACGUCAAGCUUAUAGUUGCUGGGUCAGGGCACUGCAUUUCCAUAGAAAAUGUAGACUCAUCUUACGGAUUCCAUACGAGGGCCCCAGCCUCUACCAGCUCAAGAAAGAAAUGACUGGGCAUGUGAUUCAUGCUGCACUGGAUAUGGAGACCGGCUGGCGAAGAACUGGCAAAAUUAUUAAGUUCUCUGAUUUGUGGAUGUUGUCUGUAUUUCAAAUUAUGCCAAACUUUAAUUAAUUUCUCUCAGUAAUAUUUUAGGGUUUUCUGAUGACAAAUGAGUCUUGUAAUUCUUUUAUUCAAGUA